rnacentral:rRNA from 1 species
UACGAAGGGGGCUAGCGUUGUUCGGAUUUACUGGGCGUAAAGGGCGCGUGGGCGGGUGAUUAAGUCAGGGGUGAAAUCCCAAGGCUCAACCGUGGAACUGCCUUUGAUACUGAUUGUCUUGAGUCCGGGAGAGGUGAGUGGAACUGCGAGUGUAGAGGUGAAAUUCGUAGAUAUUCGCAAGAACACCAGUGGCGAAGGCGGCUCACUGGCUCGGAACUGACGCUGAGGCGCGAAAGCGUGGGGAGCAAACAGG